CAGCCGCCGCGGUAAAACCAGCACCUCAAGUGGUCAGGAUGAUUAUUGGGCCUAAAGCAUCCGUAGCCGGCUCUGUAAGUUUUCGGUUAAAUCUGUACGCUUAACGUAUGGGCUGCCGGGAAUACUGCAAAGCUAGGGAGUGGGAGAGGUAGGCGGUACUCGGUAGGAAGGGGUAAAAUCCUUUGAUCUAUUGAUGACCACCUGUGGCGAAGGCGGUCUACCAGAACACGUCCGACGGUGAGGGAUGAAAGCUGGGGGAGCAAACCGGAUUAGAUACCCGGGUAGUCCCAGCUGUAAACUAUGCAAACUCGGUGAUGCAUUGGCUUGAUGCCAAUGCAGUGCCGCAGGGAGCCGUUAAGUUUGCCGCCUGGGAAGUACGUACGCAAGUAUGAAACUUAAAGGAAUUGGCGGGGGAGCAC
rnacentral:rRNA from 2 species